rnacentral:rRNA from 1 species
UGGGGAAUUUUGGACAAUGGGCGCAAGCCUGAUCAAGCCAUGCCGCGUGCGGGAAGAAGGCCUUCGGGUUGUAAACCGCUUUUGUCAGGGAAGAAAUCUUCUGAGUUAAUACCUCGGGAGGAUGACGGUACCUGAAGAAUAAGCACCGGCUAACUACGUGCCAGUAGCCGCGGUAAUACGUAGGGUGCAAGCGUUAAUCGGAAUUACUGGGCAUAAAGCGUGCGCAGGCGGUUUUGUAAGACAGAGGUGAAAUCCCCGGGCUCAACCUGGGAACUGCCUUUGUGACUGCAAGGCUUGAGUGCGGCAGAGGGGGAUGGAAUUCCGCGUGUAGCAGUGAAAUGCGUAGAUAUGCGGAGGAACACCGAUGGCGAAGGCAAUCCCCUGGGCCUGCANUGACGCUCAUGCACGAAAGCGUGGGGAGCAAACAGGAUUAGAUACCCUGGUAGUCCACGCCCUAAACGAUGUCAACUGGUUGUUGGGAAGGUUCCUUCUCAGUAACGUAGCUAACGCGUGAAGUUGACCGCCUGGGGAGUACGGCCGCAAGGUUGAAACUCAAAUGAAUUGACGGGGUCAUAGCUGUUUCCUG